rnacentral:tRNA from 1 species
CAGGGAGACAAACUGAUCGUGAUGUCUGAGUAUUUUUACUCUCAGGCCAUGAUCCUGUCACUCUAGGUCGAUCGGUACCUCAACCCAAAGGAAACGGACAGAGAGCAGGAAGCAGCGCAAGCUGCGGAGGGUUCUGUGGGUCGUUGCUGGAGGGAUCAGUUCCUAAACUUUGUCUAGGUCACACCCCAAGGAUUCUGUCUCCUGGGCCAUUAGCUCAGGUGGUUAGAGCGCACCCCUGAUAAGGGUGAGGUCCCUGGUUCAAGUCCAGGAUGGCCCAUUCGUGUUUGGGGGUUUAGCUCAGUUGGUAGAGCGCCUGCUUUGCAAGCAGGAUGUCAGCGGUUCGAGUCCGCUAACCUCCAUUCCAACCAGCGCCCCAAGGGAAGGUUCUCCGGUUGGGAGAAGGUUUCCAGCGGGACCGCGAAGGGAAGGAAACAGGAGGGCUGAGGGUGUGAGGUUAGACGACUUGAGGAACCAGGACUGGAUUCCAGCCUGCUUUCAUUCCCCGAAUUCGGCAGAAGAGUCUGCGCAAGAGAUUGCGUACACGAUGGUGCCGGAGUGACCCGAGAGGUUGCUCGGGAGGUGGUUGAAAGCAUGCUGGACUCAGAAGCCGCAAGGCUUCCUGUUCAGCAAGAACCUUGACAACUGCAUAGGUGAGUCUGGAAAGAAAGCAUCUCAUGGAUGCCCUUCUGAACAGGAGGGAGCAUUCUAUUGAGUUUAGAGCCGAGACUUUUCAGUGUUCUUCCAAGCCUGCCGAGGGCGAGGGAGUCUGAUUUCGUCGAUGAGCUGCUUUGUUUUCCUGUUGCGCUCUGGAUGGAUCGGUUGCGUCUGAGUAAUCAGGCAAGGCUGAGAGAUCUGGAGAUCUGGAGCAAUCCAGCCCGCAAGAGGGAAAGAGAGGAGAGCAUGGCGGGAGAACGGGCAUCAACAC